rnacentral:lncRNA from 1 species
AAGAGCUCUCUCUCUGUAGGAACGCGCCUGUCAGUCACUGCAUGCAUCCAUUAAAGAGGAGAAGCGACCGUGACGCUUUAGCUCGCCUGUGUCUUUAAGAAAGUAAGGUGGGAGAGCCCCCGUGUCCCGACGCGCUGCUCGGUAUGCAAACAUAAAUUUAGCAGCAACGUGUUUGCAGCGGGAACUAAAUAUCUGGAAGCGGUCGUGUGGUGUCAUGUGCUCUUUCGGCCGACUCUGAGCCGUUUUCCUCCGCGUGGACGCUGGGGGAAGCAGCCGCGCGGGACCCUCCUUCUCCUACUUUCUGCUCGGAGCGCGCGCGCGCCUCUGUCAUCGCUUUGAAAUUACGUUGAACUUGCCCGAGAUGACUGAAAGCUGCAGCUGGACGUACGUGCUGCUUCUCCUCGCUGUGUACUUGAAGGUCGCCGUGUGGGCCACCGACGGUGACGCCGUGUUUAUCAGAGAGUUCACAUUGAUUCGGAGAGAUCCUGAAGAGGGACUCCAUGAUGGCCACAGGCAAGAAGACCCGGUAAUGUCCCAGAAAACCCCCAAAAGAAACUCUCCAUACCCUGUUAUGCUAUUUUUAAGUUUUUCCUGCCUCUGUUUUUCAACAUGAACGUACUCCACCACCUUCAUUUCUUUCUCCUUUAAAAGCAAUUGUACAGAAAAUAGAUUGAUGGAAAACGUCUAGAUCAGCCAAUAAAUCUUUUGCAGGGUGUUUAUGUAGCUCAGCGCAGCAGAAAAGUGUCUGUGUCACACCUCGGUAAUGAAUGCGAGUGAUAAACGAUUGUGGGAGAUGAGGUGUGAUGUGACUGCAGGCUGACGCGGCGUGAUGCGAAACAGGGCAGUUCAUGCAAACAGCCUCGUUUAACACUCACUUUAACUGAGGGCGCCUUUUUUCCCCUCAUUGCAUAGUUUAAACCUUGCCCCGACCAUCGAUGAGGUAGAAGUCUAUCUUUAGGCCAAUGUCUCGUCCAGACGUUUGGUUGUGUUUCGUCUUAAUGCAGUAAUAAAACAAAUCUGUUUUUUCCUGCACAUUCUUCGCAAAUGUAAAGUCUCAAUCAUCUUUUAACCUUUGUCAAAGCAUUCCCACUUAGUCUUUUAGUGACGAUUAUACCAUUUUUACCCAAAAUUAAAAAAAAAGCCUGUUGUUUUCUAGGAGCAGCAGGGGUUCAUUAGAAAUUCACCUCCAAGUUGCGGGCAGGAUUGUUGGCACAGAGUGACCCCAUCCCCCCUUCCCUUUACCCUUUCAAAGAAAAGAGCUUCAGAAAUGUUCAAAUGUUAAAAACACCAAAAACUUUAUUUAUUUUUUUUAUCAGAGUUGGUCUUUAUAGGUUUCUAAUCAUCAAACUAAUAAAA